rnacentral:rRNA from 1 species
UGUAAGCGUAUACCAAAGUUGUUGCAGUUAAAACGCUCGUAGUCGGAAUUUGGCAGUUCCGGAUGUGUGCACGUCGUGUGCGCACUUCGCGGGGAUUGCUUUUGUGGUCAUGCGUAGGAUGAGGCACUUUUAUUAGUGAACGUCCUCACGCAACCACUUUUUACUGUGAGAAAAUCAGAGUGCUCAAAGCAGGCAUUUGCCGUGAAUGUAUUAGCAUGGAAUAAUAGAAUAGGACUUGGUUCUAUUUUGUUGGUUUGUUGGGACUGAGUAAUGAUUAAGAGGGACAGUUGGGGGCAUUUGUAUUUCGGUGCUAGAGGUGAAAUUCUUAGAUUACCGAAAGACAAACUGCUGCGAAAGCGUCUGCCAAGGAUGUUUUCAUUGA